UACGAAGGGGGCUAGCGUUGCUCGGAAUGACUGGGCGUAAAGGGCGCGUAGGCGGCUCAUACAGUCAGAUGUGAAAUUCCUGGGCUUAACCUGGGGGCUGCAUUUGAUACGUGUGGGCUUGAGUGGGGAAGAGGGUCGUGGAAUUCCCAGUGUAGAGGUGAAAUUCGUAGAUAUUGGGAAGAACACCGGUGGCGAAGGCGCUCUGCUAGGCCGCAACUGACACUGAGGGACGAAAGCUAGGGGAGCGAAUGGG
rnacentral:rRNA from 1 species